UAAAUAUUUAAGAAUAUUAUAAAAUUAAUUAAUAUAAAGUUUAAUCUAUUUGUUGUAUAUAAUAAACUAAUAAUAAUAAUGUAUAAAAAUCUAAAAACUAAAUUCUAUGUAGGACGUGGCAGUUACUAUCAAAGAGGUUUAUCCUUUGAAGAUGAAGAUGGGCCUUUUGCUCGGCCAAGACCAAUGGAACGCAGUCAAAGUAUGAGUGAGAGAGAUCAACGUUGGGAUGAUCGGGAAAGAAGAUUUGAUAGAUCUUAUACAGGUAGAGGAAGUGGUGGAAUUGAUGACAGUAGUAAUGCAC
rnacentral:lncRNA from 1 species